rnacentral:rRNA from 1 species
AGAUCGAAUGGGGAGAUUCAUCGUCGACGAAGCCGGCUCCCGUUGGUGCGCGAUACCCCGAAUGGGCCUUUACCGGUUCCAAGGCGAGGGUACACCAUCUUCGGCGAACGUUCCGGCGACGUAGUCGUGCACUUCUCCCUUAGUAGAACGUCGCGACCCGUUGUGCGCCGGUCUACGGCCUGUGGCUACUUUGCCUGUCGCGGCGCCUUCGCGCGCUCGCGGCAGAGGCUCGGUCGCCCGGCCGGCUGCACGACGGUACUCUGACGGUAUCGGGCCGCAACCAAUCCAUUCUCGAAUGUGUGUGCGUCGGACCCGCCGCAAGCUCGGACAGAUACUCACCCGGAGUGUGCGGACCUAGUGCCCUCCCCGGGUCUGGCCAGCUGUUGGCAGGCGGUGUUCUCGGACUGGCCAAGCUUCGAAUUACCGGUCAGCGACGCUACUGCUUUGGGUACUCUCAGGACCCGUCUUGAAACACGGACCAAGGAGUCUAACAUGUGCGCGAGUCAUUGGGACAUGUAAACCUAAAGGCGCAAUGAAAGUGAAGUUCGGCCUUUGCGUCGACCAAGGGAGGAUGGGCCGCUUACGUCCCGGCCCCGCACUCCCGGGGCGUCUCGUUCUCAUUACGAGAAGAGGCGCACCCAGAGCGUACACGUUGGGACCCGAAAGAUGGUGAACUAUGCCUGGUCAGGACGAAGUCAGGGGAAACCCUGAUGGAGGUCCGUAGCGAUUCUGACGUGCAAAUCGAUCGUCGGAACUGGGUAUAGGGGCGAAAGACUAAUCGAACCAUCUAGUAGCUGGUUCCCUCCGAAGUUUCCCUCAGGAUAGCUGGCACUCGCUCGUUCAUGCGUGAACGCGUGCGAGUUUCAUCUGGUAAAGCGAAUGAUUAGAGGCCUUGGGGCCGAAACGACCUCAACCUAUUCUCAAACUUUAAAUGGGUGAGAUCUCUGGCUUGCUUGGAUCAUGAAGCCAAGAGAUAAUUUUGAAUCAGAGUGCCAAGUGGGCCAAUUUUGGUAAGCAGAACUGGCGCUGUGGGAUGAACCAAACGCAGAGUUAAGGCGCCUAAGUCGACGCUUAUGGGAUACCAUGAAAGGCGUUG